AUUGAACGCUGGCGGCAUGCCUUACACAUGCAAGUCGAACGGUAACAGGUCUUCGGAUGCUGACGAGUGGCGGACGGGUGCGUAAUACAUCGGAACGUGCCCGAUCGUGGGGGAUAACGAGGCGAAAGCUUUGCUAAUACCGCCUACGAUCUACGGCUGAAAGCGGGGGAUCUUCGGACCUCGCGCGGCCGGAGCGGCCGAUGGCAGAUUAGGUAGUUGGUGGGAUAAAAGCUUACCAAGCCGACGAUCUGUAGCUGGUCUGAGAGGAUGAUCAGCCACACUGGGACUGAGACACGGCCCAGACUCCUACGGGAGGCAGCAGUGGGGAAUUUUGGACAAAGGGCGAAAGCCUGAUCCAGCCAUGCCGCGUGCAGGAUGAAGGCCUUCGGGUUGUAAACUGCUUUUGUACGGAACGAAAAGCCUCAUUCUAAUAAAGAGAGGUCAUGACGGUACCGUAAGAAUAAGCACCGGCUAACUACGUG
rnacentral:rRNA from 1 species